AAAACGCCGAUUGGUUUUUCAUUUCCCUCUUUCUUUUCCUCUUUUGUAGCUCUCCUUUCUCAUCUCUCCCUCCCAUCUCAAGUGCUUCUCCCAUCUUAGAUUUGGACUUUUCCAUCUCCCAUGUUAUCUCCAAAUCUCAUUCUCUCUCUUAUUUCUCUUCCUUUCUUCUCAUUCUCGGGUUCUUAGAUCAGAUCUAGAGCUACUUGUGGACGUGGUUAUCAAUGGUGAAGAGAAUAGAAGAAAUCUAAGGAGGCACUUGAAGCUAGUUCCCACCUGAUACACGAUUCGGUUGUCUAAUUAACAUGGGAAGGUGGCACUUGUUGAUGCACGUGGAGGGGCAUGCUUGUGGUGCUAUAUAUCUCUUUGGAGAAAUGCAACAAGAAAGGGUUAAAGAGGAUGAAUAUAGAAAAUAAGACGUGCCAGGCUGAUUCUGCUGGAUCUGGUAGCACAGAUGGAGGAUUACGGUAUUGGGCCGAACACUGCUUCAUAUAAUCUGGUGCUCAAGGCGAUGUACCAGGCUAGGGAGAGCAAGGCCACGUUGCUUGAUCGGUAAGUGGGCCACUAUUUCAUUUCUCCUUUUCCAUCGCAUGUGUUUUAUCUGCAACCCAAGUUCUCGAUUGGGUAAGCUGCAAUCAAUUGGAUAAGUGGCAUGGCAGUCCGCUUUUUCUCUCCAAUCUUUCCCCUCGUUUGAGUUGGUAUUCGGUUAUGGUUUGGUUUGGGUCCGUGUGUAUUUAUAGACAAUUGAUGAAUAUCGACCUUUCCUGAUUUCAUUUCUUACCUAAGAGUGUGUUUGGUUAUACCAAUAUUUAACAAGUAUAUGAAUACAAAAGAUUCGUGUGAUCCAUUUCAAGGUGGGGUUUCAUUUAACAGUGUAUUUCUUUAUUAAAAACCUGUUUGAUUUCCCACCAACAUUGAUUCACAUGCUGAAUUCUAUUUGGUAGAUCAGGAUGGGAUAAUCCACUGUGGGACACAAAACUCCCUCAUAUCUACACCGUUGAGGGUUUUAUGUUGCACUGAUAUUGCAUUAAUUGCUGCUGUUGGCACUUCGUAAUUCGAAACUGAUUUAUAACGUAACUCUUAUUCAAACAAGCCUUGAAUUGCAUGCAUAACUAGACAUUCAUGAUUUUGGAAUUUUAGGAGUAGGCGUUUGCUUUUUUUACCUCAUGCUUUUCCUAGUGUUUCAAUCUAUAAAUUUUUUGUCCAUUAUGUAACCUUUCAUUCUCGGGAUGCUUGUAAAUGGGGUUGGUUGUAAAUGAUUUACAAGUUGUGUUUGAAUGCUAAUUUAAGCCCAUAAAGGUCUUCUGUUCUAGAAGAUUCAGCCUAGCAGAAUUUUUAAUUGUUUCUUUUCUUUUCUUUUACAUUGUUAGACAUUGACCGAUAUUCACAGAGGUCUUGAUUACAUACCUUGUUCAGAAUUUUAAUUUUCAAUUUCAUAAGGUUUUCUUCAGAAUUUUAAUUUUCAAUUUAUAGCUUUUGUUUAUUUGUUAGAGGUCUUGAUUACAUAAAUUCAAGUAUGAUACACAGAAAAUAAGAUGUCUUGAUUACUCUCGUUUUUUUAUCAUGUUUUUUUUUCCUUCUCUUCUUGAUGGGUGUUUUAUUAUUCUUUUCAUUACCUGUAUCAGGUGGAACACACUGUUACUUACAAUGAGCACAUGCCGAGAAAACCUCCCCCAGAUUUGCCAUCUCUACUUUUACAUGGACGGAUAGUUUACAUUGGCAUGCCUAAUAAGAUCUUCCACGUGCCAAGAACCAUCAAUGAAUGAAGUUGAUAUGCGUGAAGAACCAUCAGAUGAUGAGGUUGAUAUGCAUGAAGAACCAUCGGAUGAUGAGGUUGAUAUGCAUGAAGAACCAUCGGAUGACGAGGUUGAUAUG